AGUGAGCGCUGGCGGUAGGCCUAACACAUGCAAGUCGAACGGCAGCACAGUAAGAGCUUGCUCUUACGGGUGGCGAGUGGCGGACGGGUGAGGAAUACAUCGGAAUCUACUUUUUCGUGGGGGAUAACGUAGGGAAACUUACGCUAAUACCGCAUACGACCUACGGGUGAAAGCAGGGGAUCUUCGGGCCUUGCGCGAUUGAAUGAGCCGAUGUCGGAUUAGCUAGUUGGCGGGGUAAAGGCCCACCAAGGCGACGAUCCGUAGCUGGUCUGAGAGGAUGAUCAGCCACACUGGAACUGAGACACGGUCCAGACUCCUACGGGAGGCAGCAGUGGGGAAUAUUGGACAAUGGGCGCAAGCCUGAUCCAGCCAUACCGCGUGGGUGAAGAAGGCCUUCGGGUUGUAAAGCCCUUUUGUUGGGAAAGAAAAGCAGCAGGUUAAUACCCCGCUGUUCUGACGGUACCCAAAGAAUAAGCACCGGCUAACUUCGUG
rnacentral:rRNA from 1 species